UACGAAGGGGGCUAGCGUUGCUCGGAAUCACUGGGCGUAAAGCGCACGUAGGCGGAUUCCUAAGUCGGGGGUGAAAUCCUGGAGCUCAACUCCAGAACUGCCUUCGAUACUGGGAAUCUUGAGUCCGGAAGAGGUGAGUGGAACUGCGAGUGUAGAGGUGAAAUUCGUAGAUAUUCGCAAGAACACCAGUGGCGAAGGCGGCCCACUGGUCCGGUACUGACGCUGAGGUGCGAAAGCGUGGGGAGCAAACAGG
rnacentral:rRNA from 1 species